rnacentral:rRNA from 1 species
CCUAGGGGAGGCAGCAGUGGGGAAUAUUGGGCAAUGGGCGCAAGCCUGACCCAGCGACGCCGCGUGAGGGAUGAAGGCCUUCGGGUUGUAAACCGCUUUCAGUAGGGAAGAAGCGAAAGUGACGGUACCUACAAAAGAAGCACCGGCUAACUAUGUGCCAGCAGCCGCGGUAAU